GUGGAAUGCGCUGCUAUACAUGCAAGUCGAGCGGACAGAUGGGAGCUUGCUCCCUGAUGUUAGCGGCGGACGGGUGAGUAACACGUGGGUAACCUGCCUGUAAGACUGGGAUAACUCCGGGAAACCGGGGCUAAUACCGGAUGGUUGUUUGAACCGCAUGGUUCAAACAUAAAAGGUGGGCUUCGGCUACCACUUACAGAUGGACCCGCGGCGCAUUAGCUAGUUGGUGAGGUAACGGCUCACCAAGGCAACGAUGCGUAGCCGACCUGAGAGGGUGAUCGGCCACACUGGGACUGAGACACGGCCCAGACUCCUACGGGAGGCAGCAGUAGGGAAUCUUCCGCAAUGGACGAAAGUCUGACGGAGCAACGCCGCGUGAGUGAUGAAGGUUUUCGGAUCGUAAAGCUCUGUUGUUAGGGAAGAACAAGUACCGUUCGAAUAGGGCGGUACCUUGACGGUACCUAACCAGAAAGCCACGGCUAAACACAUACCAGCAGACU
rnacentral:rRNA from 1 species